rnacentral:lncRNA from 12 species
AGCGGUGGGUCUGUGGUGGCUUUACAACUGGGAUGGCCCUUCAGAGUUGUCCUGGGUGGGGCUAGGAGACUGGUCCUUUACAUUCCUAUGUUGACUGGAUAUGGGCCACCCUGCAAGGAGUCAGAACCUUAGAUAAAGCAAUUUUCUUCUGUGGAGGCAUCCCCCCAGCUGAAAGCACCUUCUGCAGCAAGGGGAAUAAGUCCUUCCUUCCCGAAAGGAGACCUGAAGGAUGCAUCGCAGCACUGUCACACUGUGCCUUGUGGCAGGGGUCUGACUUCAUCCAUUGUGAUCCUGGCUUUUCAGUUGGUGUCUGUCGGUGAAGUCUGCUCUUCUGAGAGCACUCACAAUUGGUAUGUAUCUUCCAAGCAAAUGCUGGCUCCAGUGUUUACUUACCCUUGAGAAUUUGUGCUUUCUCAUAGUUUCUGACAUCUGAGGAAUUCUCUUAACUUUCUGGCCAACUUAACUAUGCAUUAAAAUUAUGAUUAUAUAUUUUAACUAGCAUUUUUAUUUGUGCAAUACUUGGAGGAGUUUCCACAUUGCUAGAAAGAUAAGUCUAUAAUGUAAUUUGGAAACAAACAAACAAACAAAA